rnacentral:tRNA from 1 species
GCGCCGGUGGUGUAAUGGCUUAGAGCAUUCCCUCCCGGUCAGAGGGAGGUGCUGGUUCGAAUCCUGCCUGGCGCU